CCGAUUUGAAGAUGCUGGAAGACGAGCUAAAGCUGCUGCAGCAGACACUGAGGGGCUGCAGGACCAGCCCCCCACCCAGCAGGGCAUCGGGCAGCUCAAUCGACACACGAAUCUACGAAGAAGUGGGAGACCCUGCAGGGUUCACCAACGGGUAUCUUCACCAUCAGACACCCCCCCUCGAUACACCCCCUCUACAUCGAGGCCGGGCCGGCUCCUCCU